CGCCUGUUUAUCAAAAACAUGGCCUUUUGUUUAAAAUUUAAGGUCUGGCCUGCCCACUGAGGAUUUUAAAGGCCGCGGUAACUUGACCGUGCUAAGGUAGCAUAAUCAUUAGUUUUUUAAUUGAAAGCUGGAAUGAAUGGUCGGAUGAGAAAAAGACUGUCUCUAGUUUAACUUAAGUGAAUUUUAUUUUUAAGUAAAAAAGCUUAAAUUUUUUUGAAAGACGAGAAAACCCUAUAGAGUUUUAUAGUUUUGGGGCUUUAAAUUUUUUGUAUUUUUAUUUUGUAGUUUUAAAAUUAUUUGAUUGGGGUGAUUGAAAAAUUUGAUAAACUUUUUCUAAAUUGAUACAUUGAUUUAUGAGUUUUUGAUCCAUUGUUUAUGAUUAAAAGAUUAAAUUACCUUAGGGAUAACAGCGUAA
rnacentral:rRNA from 1 species